CCUACGGGUGGCAGCAGUGAGGAAUAUUGGUCAAUGGUCGGGAGACUGAACCAGCCAAGCCGCGUGAGGGAGGAAGGUACAGAGUAUCGUAAACCUCUUUUGUCAGGGAACAAAGGCGGGGACGUGUCCCCGGAUGAGUGUACCUGAAGAAAAAGCAUCGGCUAACUCCGUGCCAGCAGCCGCGGUAAUACGGAGGAUGCGAGCGUUAUCCGGAUUUAUGGGGUUUAAGGGGUGCGCAGGCGGUCUGUUAUGUCAGCGGUCAAAGCCCGGGGCUCACCCCCGGCCCGCCGUUGAAACUGGCAGUCUCGAGUUGGAGAGAAGUAGGCGGAAUGCGCGGUGUAGCGGUGAAAUGCAUAGAUAUCGCGCAGAACUCCGAUUGCGAAGGCAGCAUGCCGGCUCCACACUGACGCUGAGGCACGAAAGCGUGGGUAUCGAACAGGAUUAGAUACCCCUGUAGUC
rnacentral:rRNA from 1 species